rnacentral:rRNA from 1 species
AACGCGAAGAACCUUACCAGCCCUUGACAUCCCGGUCGCGGAUUCCAGAGACGGAAUCCUUCAGUUCGGCUGGACCGGAGACAGGUGCUGCAUGGCUGUCGUCAGCUCGUGUCGUGAGAUGUUGGGUUAAGUCCCGCAACGAGCGCAACCCCCGUCCUUAGUUGCUACCAUUUAGUUGAGCACUCUAAGGAGACUGCCGGUGAUAAGCCGCGAGGAAGGUGGGGAUGACGUCAAGUCCUCAUGGCCCUUACGGGCUGGGCUACACACGUGCUACAAUGGCGGUGACAAUGGGACGCUAAGGGGCAACCCUUCGCAAAUCUCAAAAAGCCGUCUCAGUUCGGAUUGGGCUCUGCAACUCGAGCCCAUGAAGUUGGAAUCGCUAGUAAUCGUGGAUCAGCACGCCACGGUGAAUACGUUCCCGGGCCUUGUA